GGCGCAUUCGUCUAUUUGGUUAGGACGCCACCCUCUCAAGGUGGAGAUGACGGGUUCGAAUCCCGUAUGCGCCACCA
rnacentral:tRNA from 1 species